CCUCGCUCCCGGCGUCCUCCCAAAUCCUCCGUCUGACAUCAUGUGUCAGGACGGAUCCCGGGCGCUCCGACUGCGGUGUUACUGUGUGUGAUCCCUGACACUCCAACCCCUAAUACCCCCUUCCAGGUUUACAUGAACAAAAGCCGUCCCUGUCUGUCUGAGAGACUGAGGGACGGUGAGGAGCAGGCUGCCAGGGGGACCAGAGUCAGCUACGAGACGUCUCUCUGACAGCGGGGUGAGGGCUGUGGGGCUGUGGCCCCCGUGCUGCUGCUGCUGUUGCUGCUGCUGCUGGGACUUUGCAUUCAAUCAGUGGGGACCGGUCUGUCCGUCCUGUUGUUAGGAACACGGAGCCACACGUUGUGUAGCCGUAAGCAGAAGAGAGACAGGGUCUCCCCGUGCUGGUUUCACAGUCGUCGGCAGUAUAUGACUUAUUACGGCUAUUUAUUGAUUCUAAUCGACUGUUUAUGUGUGUGUGCUAUUCUCUCGGGUGGCGUCAAUCCUUCAAGGACACUGGAAAGGGGUUGAUGCAUUCUGUGUGUGUGCGUUUAGAGAGUGUGUUGUGUGUGUGUGUGUGUGUGUGUGUGUGUGUGUGUGUGUGUCUGCAUGUUUUUAGAGAGUGUGUGUGUGUUUGCGUGUUUGGUGUGUGUGUGUGUGUGUGCGUUUUUAGAGAGUGUGUGUGUGUUUGUGUGUGUGUGUGUGUGUGUGUGUGUGUGUGUGUCUGUGUGUGUGUCCCCGUCCUCUUAUGCAAUUCAUUACAGACGGGCUAAGUGAUUUAAGUUUGGAGGAAAGAAUCAAAGAUUAAGGAGAAGUUUCCUGAGGCGGGAGUCGGACUGAGGAGCCAGUGUUCCCAGUCGUUACCGUGCCUUCGUCUAGCUAUCGAUGCUUUUCUAAUUACACUGAAUCCAUUGAUCCGCUCUGAAGCUGGUGGGUCUCCUGCACUUUGGUUGUAAUGAUCUGCAUCGCUGCCGUCCCUCAGUCAAUGUGUUACAAUAACAAGGCUGGAAGAGAGGAAGGCAUGACAACAACGAUAAGAGAAGCCUGAAACGAUCCAGCUAAAUGUGGUGCUGUUUUAAUUCUUACAAUUAUUUAUUAUUAUUUAAUUUUUUCCAUAGUGUGAUGGUUAUGAUCAGUAAUUAAUUUCAAAUAUUUUAUCAGUUACAACAUGUGUUUUCUUGUAUCUUGUGUGUGUGCAUUUUUGAUUUUAUUUUUUUAAGUGCAAUAAGUCAUCUGUAUUUUUUUGUUAUUUACGUAGAGCCAAAUUGCUUUAAGUAAUAAAUACUGAGUAGCACCAGCCGACACUCGUUGAAUUUCAUUUACUAAAUAAAACGAAUGCUG
ensembl:lncRNA